rnacentral:rRNA from 1 species
GACGAACGCUGGCGGCGUGCUUAACACAUGCAAGUCGAACGGAAAGGCCCUGCUUGCAGGGUACUCGAGUGGCGAACGGGUGAGUAACACGUGGGUGAUCUGCCCUGCACUUCGGGAUAAGCCUGGGAAACUGGGUCUAAUACCGGAUAGGAGCCAUUUUUAGUGUGAUGGUUGGAAAGUUUUUUCGGUGUAGGAUGAGCUCGCGGCCUAUCAGCUUGUUGGUGGGGUAAUGGCCUACCAAGGCGGCGACGGGUAGCCGGCCUGAGAGGGUGGACGGCCACAUUGGGACUGAGAUACGGCCCAGACUCCUACGGGAGGCAGCAGUGGGGAAUAUUGCACAAUGGGCGCAAGCCUGAUGCAGCGACGCCGCGUGGGUGAUGACGGCCUUCGGGUUGUAAACUCCUUUCGCUAGGGACGAAGCUUUUUGUGACGGUACCUAGAUAAGAAGCACCGGCUAACUACGUG